rnacentral:rRNA from 1 species
GACGAACGCUGGCGGCGUGCUUAACACAUGCAAGUCGAACGAUGAAGCUGGAGCUUGCUCCGGUGGAUUAGUGGCGAACGGGUGAGUAACACGUGAGCAAUCUGCCCUUGACUCUGGGAUAACUGCGGGAAACUGUAGCUAAUACCGGAUACGAGGCCCGAAGGCAUCUUCGGGUUUGGAAAGAAUUUCGGUCAAGGAUGAGCUCGCGGCCUAUCAGCUUGUUGGUGAGGUAAUGGCUCACCAAGGCGACGACGGGUAGCCGGCCUGAGAGGGUGACCGGCCACACUGGGACUGAGACACGGCCCAGACUCCUACGGGAGGCAGCAGUGGGGAAUAUUGCACAAUGGGCGAAAGCCUGAUGCAGCAACGCCGCGUGAGGGAUGAAGGCCUUCGGGCUGUAAACCUCUUUUAGCAGGGAAGAAGCGAAAGUGACGGUACCUGCAGAAAAAGCACCGGCUAACUACGUGCCAGCCGCCGCCGUAA